UGCACAUCUUGACGGUACCUAACCAGAAAGCCACGGCUAACUACGUGCCAGCAGCCGCGGUAAUACGUAGGUGGCAAGCGUUAUCCGGCAUUAUUGGGCGUAAAGCGCGCGUAGGCGGUUUUUUAAGUCUGAUGUGAAAGCCCACGGCUCAACCGUGGAGGGUCAUUGGAAACUGGAAAACUUGAGUGCAGAAGAGGAAAGUGGAAUUCCAUGUGUAGCGGUGAAAUGCGCAGAGAUAUGGAGGAACACCAGUGGCGAAGGCGGCUUUCUGGUCUGUAACUGACGCUGAUGUGCGAAAGCGUGGGGAUCAAACAGGAUUAGAU
rnacentral:rRNA from 1 species